rnacentral:rRNA from 1 species
AAGUCUCUUCGGGGAUGAUUAAACCGGCGCACGGGUGAGUAACACGUGAGUGACCUGCCUUUUAGACUGGAACAACUUACCGAAAGGUGAGCUAAUGCCGGAUGAGUUAUAUAAGUGCAUGUUUAUAUAGGAAAAGUUGGGGAGACCUGACGCUGAAAGAUGGACUCGCGUCCCAUUAGCUAGUUGGUAGGGUAAUGGCCUACCAAGGCGACGAUGGGUAGCCGGCCUGAGAGGGUGGCCGGCCACACUGGGACUGAGACACGGCCCAGACUCCUACGGGAGGCAGCAGUGGGGAAUUUUGCGCAAUGCUCGUAAGAGUGACGCAGCGACGCCGCGUGAAUGACGAAGGCCUUCGGGUCGUAAAGUUCUUUCGACAGGGAAGAAAAUGCCUAUAAGUAACUGUGUAUGUAUUGACGGUACCUGUAUAAGCAGCCCCGGCUAACUCCGUGCCAGCAGCCGCGGUAAUACGGAGGGGGCGAGCGUUGUUCGGAGUGACUGGGCGUAAAGAGCACGUAGGCGGUGUUGUAAGUCAUUAGUCAAAGACUAGAGCUCAACUUUAGUAAGGCUAGUGAUACUAUAAUACUAGAGUAUCAGAGAGGAUUGCAGAAUUCCUGGUGUAGCGGUGAAAUGCGUAGAUAUCAGGAGGAAUACCGUUAGCGAAGGCGGCAAUCUGGCUGGAAACUGACGCUGAGGUGCGAAAGCGUGGGUAGCAAACAGGAUUAGAUACCCUGGUAGUCCACGCUGUAAACGAUGGAUGCUAGGUGUUGGGCUUUUAAGU